rnacentral:lncRNA from 1 species
UGAAGGGCUUUUGUGACUUUGGUUCCCUGUGAGCAAGAUGAUCUGCAAGUGGCGACAUGAACUGAUUACCAAUCACUGACUUCAGGAGGAAGCAAUAGUUCUGGAGGCUGGGAAGUCCAAGAUCAAGGCAGGCGCCAGCAGACUCUGGGUCUGGAGGAUAGAAAAGUAUAGAGGAAAAAGGAAGUUCCACCUCCAUGAUCCUUUAGUCCUCUAGCUGUUCUCCCCAGAGAAAGCAACUCUAAGUUUCUUGCAGAAAGGACCUGGAUACACUAGUAGAGAUGUGGUCUAUGUUGCCCAGGGUGGACUCGAACUCCUGGACUCAAGUGACCCUCCUGCCUCAGUCUCCCAAGUAGCUGGGACUGCAGACAAGGGAAUGAGAAGCAGCAAGUUAAAUGCAGAACAGAAAUGAAGCUGUUAGACCAAAUUUUCAGCUUCUCACAUGGGCACAGAUUACCAAAAGUGGGACUGCUGGCACAAAGCAUAUGUGUGUAUUCAUCGUGACUGUUACUACCAGAUUCUUUUCCAAGAAAGUUCUAGGCACUAACUUUUUUUUUAAGACUGCAUGAAGUAUAUCUUUUUCUAAUAAUACAGUAUUUCAUGGGGCACCUCUAUCUGUGAAUACGAUUUUCUCACUUGUUAGAGCCUCUGUCACAUAAUACACUUGCCACAGAAUACUGCCACAGAGAAGAGCAAAGGAAGACAGCUGGCUAGCCAAAUGUCCCCACAAUGGAAUAGUGCCUGAAAGACCCAUGGGGGAGCUGUCCAUCAGAGCCACACUCCCCACCAGCUCCUUGGAAGGCACCCCCAAAAGCAGGAGUGGAGAGUCCAAAUGUCAUCUGCCCUCGAACACCACAUGAAAUGGGGAGUACCCUUCACUCAGAGAGCAGCCCACCCCUCUUCCUCCUUUCAGGGAGGGUUACCACAGUGGAAGUGAAGCUCCUCAACAAGCCUUCAGCUCUGUGAUGAAAUUCCCUGGUCCUCCACACCUAUCCAUCCCUGACAGAGUAUGAUCAGUUUGCUUCUAUUUCUAGUAGAAUAUAUUUCACAGCAUAAUAGUUCAAAGAAACCUUACAACCCU